GGGUGAUUAGCUCAGUUGGUUAGAGCAUCUCGUUUACACCGAGAGGGUCGGGGGUUCGAAUCCCUCAUCACCCACCC
rnacentral:tRNA from 5 species